AAAACGACUCUCGGCAACGGAUAUCUCGGCUCUCGCAUCGAUGAAGAACGUAGCGAAAUGCGAUACUUGGUGUGAAUUGCAGAAUCCCGUGAACCAUCGAGUCUUUGAACGCAAGUUGCGCCCGAAGCCUAGGCCAAGGGCACGUCUGCCUGGGCGUCUCAC
rnacentral:rRNA from 3 species